rnacentral:lncRNA from 1 species
GGCCAGCUGCUGGCCCCACCCCAUUUCCUCCAAGAAGACUAAUGGGCACUGAAGAAACUUCAUCUCGAGUCAGUGACAAUGCUGGUCACUGAGCAACCCUGCCCUACACCUCACUCCAGGCCGUGGACAAGAGGACAGUGGAAUCAACUUUCCCUGUGUUGCUUGGACCAACAGUAGGCAAGUCUUCCUAUAGCCUGUAAUCCAUAGGUCACAUGCUAUCAGCAAGAAGGCAGGUGUCCUGCAGCCCACUACUGUGGAUGGAGGAUCUUGGGAUGGCUGUCCAUGCAGCCUGCUGGCAAGUCUCUGUUAUUCUUUAAUCAUUGAUUCAGCUCUAAGGAUUCUUGUAAGUUCCAGGGAGUUGAAUUGGAUCCAAACAUACAGGUCUAAGAGACGCCAGGGAGUCCCAUACAGCCUGGACCACAAUGAAACAACCAUCUACCCCAGGACGUGGCAGCACCCCAAUCUUCUCAGAUCCCCCCAAAGACGAUCAACGCCCCAGGUCAGCAGGAAGCAGCCUUGAGAUUUCUUCGUCCCUACUUCCUAACCUGCCACAUCCAAUUCUCCAACUUUUAUAAUAAACAACAGCCGGGAUUGUAAGAACAAUACACCUGGAUGACCCCGCCCCCCUAACAACAAGCAGGGCACACACAGGAA